CACUUUUUUUUCUUCCAGAAAAGAAACCCAAACACAGUAGCCUACAUCUCAACAAGGGUAUCCUUCUUCAAUUGUUUUCCUCGAAAACCCUCUGAGCUGCUGGCAUUUUGUUCUUCUUUGGAAUUAGAUCUGAAGCAAGCUCCUACCAUUUAUCAACCUGUGAUCCACCCAAAUUACAGUUCUGGCUGUGAAAAAGGCUCCGAAGAAUGACUGCAUAGUGGAAAAGGUAGUUUUUGGAAAGACUGUACCUGGAAGCAGAAGCCUUUCUGCAUGGAGUGCUACAUUGGUGACCUUAGGUCAGCCUGAAGACUAGUGACCUCUAUACCCGAGGAUACCCCAGCAAGGGUGAAGAAGUAUGUCCAACCACCCCUAUUGCCUCCAUGGUUCUCCCCAGUACAGCUCUGAAGGCAGGAGAGGGCUAAGUUGCAAAUUGUUCAAAAAACAGCAAGCAUGAUUUAAAAACCAGUUUCAUGGUCAUCAAUUAAAACACAAGUAAAUUGGAAGCUUUAGACAUUAACAUUCAUUUAGAAGGUGGUGCCUGUGGAUAUCUAUUAUAUACUCAGAUUUUCUUCUCAUAAAUUAGAUUAUAAU
rnacentral:lncRNA from 1 species